rnacentral:miRNA from 1 species
ACAGUUCUUUAGACUGGGCGUCUGGGCGAUUUUUGCCCUGAUCUCGCUAACGGAGUGU